CGCCUCUGGCUAAUAAAUCAAGAGGUCCUGCCUGCCCGGUGAUCACUAAGAUUAAACGGCUGCGGUACUCUGACCGUGCAAAGGUAGCAUAAUCAUUUGCCUGUUAAUUCCAGGCUGGAAUCAACGGCUAGACGAAGAAAAUUCUGUCUCUCUUUAUAUAUUUUGAAUUUAGUUUCUUGGUGAAGAAACCAGGAUAAAAUAGUGGGACGAGAAGACCCUAUUGAGCUUUAAUCUUCUUCUAUAAAUAAAGAUAAAAAAAGAUUUUAGUUGGGGCAACUGAUUUUUUAUUAAGACAAAAUUUUUAAAUAAAUGAAUUAAAUCUAAAAUGACCCAUAAUUAGUUUAUGAUAAAAAGAAAAAGUUACCAUAGGGAUAACAGCGUAAUUUUCUUUGAGAGUACAUAUUGACAAGAAAGUUUGCGACCUCGAUGUUGGAUCAAGAUAUCCUGAAGGUGCAGCCGCUUUCAAAGGUGGGUUUGUUCAACCCAUAAAAUCUU
rnacentral:rRNA from 1 species